UGGAUCCAGUGGCCUAUGGAUCCACGCCUCUGGAAAUUACUCCACUGAUACGUCAAAAUCGGCUUGGGAGAUAGUGU